rnacentral:rRNA from 1 species
UGGGGAAUAUUGGACAAUGGGCGAAAGCCUGAUCCAGCCAUGCCGCGUGUGUGAAGAAGGUCUUCGUAUUGUAACGCACUUUUAGUUGGGAGGAAGGGCAGUAAUCGAAUACCUUGCUGUUUCGACGUUACCGACAGAAUAAGCACCGGUUAACUCUGUGCCAUCAGCCGCGGUAAUACAGAGGGUGCAAGCGUUAAUCGGAAUUACUUGGCGUAAAGCGCGCGUAGGUGGUUCGUUAAGUUGAAUGUGAAAGCCCCGGGCUCAACCUGUGAGCUGCAUCCAAAACUGGCGGGCUGGAGUAGGGCAAAGGGUGGUGGAAUUUCCUGUGUAGCGGUGAAAUACGUAGAUAUAGGAAGGAACACCAGUGGCGAAGGCGACCACCUGGGCUCAUACUGACACUGAGGUGCGAAAGAGUGGGGAGCUAACAGG